rnacentral:sRNA from 1 species
UUUGCUUUAAUUUCCAUCUCUGGAAAUUCGAGCAGAAUUUUCCAUUUAGUCGGCAUAAUUUAGAUUGAAUUUUCAGUGCACUUCACUUCCUGUAGAACAUCCCGCCACCAAAUGGUAUUUGCUUGAACGAUUAGACACAGUUCUGCAGCCAUUCAUUGCAUUGGCUAUUGCACAUUGACCAACUUAAUGGGGCCGCUUUGCGGACUGCCAAGUUCAACGCUCGAUAGGGGAGAGUGAUUAAAAUACCCGUCCAACAGCCAAGUACAGACCGCAGAAGAGCGGAGCAGACGGGACGGGACGAGAAGUAACGUAAACAGAAACGGCGUGUUUUUUGAUUGCCGAGAUUUUCUGUGCUAAAAAUGCGGACCGUCCGAUUUCCGACUUUGGCGAGACAUCGAAACGAUCCCUUAUCGGAAAUCAAAUUCGUAUCACUAGUAUACGCUGCAAUCGUAUAACUACACUCGGCGAAAACACGACACAGUACAAGGAAACAUUCAAAUUAACAAUUCGGUUUUUACGAACAAGCAUACAUAGAAAAUAAUUUCAUAGUCAAGAUGUGUUUCUUUUCACAAUAUCCACUCUUGGAGCAAACCUACGGGAUUUUAGGGGCUUUUUCUCUCGGUGUACGAGCACAUCUGUGUGUUUUUGGCAGAACUAUUGGGGGGAUAGGUAUAAGUACCAGUGUACUAUUUGAUGGCCAAAAAGUGCCUGGCGAUGGCCUAUCUUUACAAUAUAAUUGACAGAAAGUGGUAUUAUAUUGUGAAACGCGAUAAGCCAGGAGAUGUGAUAAGCAUAGCCUUCUGCGUUGGCGCCUGCUCGUAUGCCACACUUUCGAAAUGCACUUGCUUUUGACGGAGCACUUUCACUUUGUAGAGCAAAUCAUGCUUGAAACUCAAGACCCACAUCUUGUUUAGUUAAUAUCAACACACACAACACAA